UCUCACUCUCUUUAAAAUGCUGGGGAUUCCACGCUCUGCCUCGGUUAUAGCUAGAGGGCACAAAGGAAAAGCUGGACAAGCCAUUGCGGUCUGGUUGAGAGGGUCUACAAACUCUGGUUGCUGCUCAAAUUAAUAGACUCUUGUCAAACUUAAUAAUGCCAAAAUAUGAUUUGGUCUACCAUGAUGAAAAUAAACUGCUUACCAGUAGGCCAGCCUGAGCAAGCACUGUGGUGAUAGGACGCUUCCAUUCACUCUUGAUAUCACACAACACAAUGUUUUGAUUAGGUGUAAUACGCACAUCAAGUUUGUACUUCUCGAUGACUUCUCUCAGUGUCUUUUUCAUGUUACCGCCAACACGUCCACUGUCUACAUGAAGCCCACAAAACCAUGCACCAUCUCCCUGCUCAUGCCAUCCCAAAUAACUCUUGAACAAAUGUUUAUUGGUGGUCUCAACUCAAGUAGAAAGUACAAAUGGACGAUCUAAUACAUAAUAUUUAUGCAUGUUACCAAAGAGUAACAAAUAAGAUAUGAGACUAGAUUCUUUGUUUUUGUGUAAUUCCAAAAGAAAAGCUUUAUUCUCCCGUUUUAGUUGUUGGGAGAUCCUUCGUAUGAAUCGAUCAGCUCCUUGAGUUUCUCAAAUCCCUGAAAUAUUUGUUAUUUAAACAAAGUUACUCUCUAAGCAAUCCUAAGAAUUCAAUAAUCCUCUGAAAAGUCUUACCAUGCGGGUUGUAAAUUCUCCAAAUGAUUCCUUUGCUUGUCUCCCAAGUUUCCAGUUGUAGAACAAUGGUUCAAAGACCUUCUCCAAGUCAUGAAUCUUCACCUUGUCCAUGAAAGCCCUCGCUAUCUGCGUCUGGUUCGGUGUUCCCCCUAACCAAACCUGCAUGAAACAGCAGCACAAAGAACCUCCAAUGAGCUUUUUCUUCUUCUGUUGGAACUCAUUGAAAGAAGCUAGCCAGAGAAGCAAUUCAUUUACCUGGUAGCUGUUUGGACCAUCCCCUACUAGACCGACCUCAGCCAUGUACGGUCUAGCACAUCCAUUAGGACAACCAGUCACUCUUACCACAACGGAUUCAUCAUAUUCAAGACCAACCUGAUACAAAGAAAGAGUUUACACAUCAACCAUCCUUAUGGUAUAAAAACUGAGUGGAUUAAUCUUUUCUUAGCUAUCAUACCUUCUCAAACAUUGCUCUCACUCUCUUUAAAAUGCUGGGGAUUCCACGCUCUGCCUCGGUUAUAGCUAGAGGGCACAAAGGAAAAGCUGGACAAGCCAUUGCGGUCUGGUUGAGAGGGUCUACAAACUCUGGUUGCUGCUCAAAUUAAUAGACUCUUGUCAAACUUAAUAAUGCCAAAAUAUGAUUUGGUCUACCAUGAUGAAAAUAAACUGCUUACCAGUAGGCCAGCCUGAGCAAGCACUGUGGUGAUAGGACGCUUCCAUUCACUCUUGAUAUCACACAACACAAUGUUUUGAUUAGGUGUAAUACGCACAUCAAGUUUGUACUUCUCGAUGACUUCUCUCAGUGUCUUUUUCAUGUUACCGCCAACACGUCCACUGUCUACAUGAAGCCCACAAAACCAUGCACCAUCUCCCUGCUCAUGCCAUCCCAAAUAACUCUUGAAUUCCC
rnacentral:lncRNA from 1 species